AUCAUUCCAGUAUUUUCUUGUUCUUGCCUUGUUGCCUUAUCAUCUCCACCUGCUGCAUCUCUUUGCUCAGUUAGACAGUGAUGGGGUCUUUGGGACAAGGACUAUCUUUUUGUUAGAUGUCUGUAGAGCUCACCAAAAUGGGCUGGGUUCUGCUAACACCAACAGCAUUCCUCUCACUGCUGCUGUCCAAGGAUGUAAAAGGAUCUGACAAGGAGUAAGCUUCAUCAGUUCUUCUGGGUAGGUCUCUCCAAAUAAAUAACUACCAGUAGUUGUUGAGUCAACCUCUCCUGGGCUAUAUGAGAAGACCUGUUCCACUCAUAAUGCAAGGCAAAAUGGAACUGGAGUGACACUUGAGAAUCAUCACCCAAGGGUGCAAGCCUUUUAUCAAAGCAGCAUUUCUGAUGACAGUCAGGGUGCAAGAGUGCUCGCUGCUGGAACACAAUGGCCAGCCACACAAAUAGCCCUCUUGUACCAGUGUGGGAGAACACAAUGCCAAACCCAAGCUCAAAUGACAGCAUUGCACCAAUGCACCCUGGCAGGAAUGGCUGCCAAUGGAAUUAAUCAGGGAGGAUUCUUCUUAUCCUAAUUUACCCCCCACCCUGCAUGAGCAUAUCAGGAAGAACUUCCUAUCACCUUCAGAGAAGAAGCAAGUCCCACCACAAGAAUAAAGACCUCACACACAGCAAGGAGAUAUUAGCCUUGAAACCUCCCUUCCCACAUCUUUUGCUGAAAGCUCCUUCUUUUUUUCUUCCAACUGUUUCUUGGCCUCCUCUUUAAGGGGGCAUGGAGGGGCCUGGAGUGAGGGUCCCCGUAGCAUUAGGAGCAGGCCCUGAGACAGCUGCAGUGAAAGGGAUGCUGCAAUUCUAAAUGCCCUGUGCGCUCUACAUAUUGUGGAAAAAGCUGUUGCAUUCAUCAAUGUCAGGCGCAGAGUUUGAAUAAAUUUGAAUGCACUCAA